GUCAACUGGAACACUACCAGAAUGGAGUAACAGCAACGGCCGUGAUCACAUUAAAAAUACCUUUAAAAACGGAGGAAUUCAACAUCGUAAAUAAUUCGUCAUCAAAAGCUGCUAGUCCGACAAUAACGAACUUGCUUCAUGCCAUUUCUGCUCUGGAGAAUUCGACAAAACAACUGAAUACCAGUACCGACAUCUUGAGGAUUGUGAUCGAUGGUCAGGAAUAUAAUGCUCUCAGCGUUGAAUCAUACGGAAAAGUUGAUUGUCCUGACGGACAAAUUCAGUUACAGGCAUUGUGCACUAAUUGUCCGGAAGGUACUUAUAAUCAGAACGGCAGUGAAUGUUUCCCGUGUCCGUAUGGGACAUACCAAGAUACACCUGGAUCUACUUCCUGUAAGGAAUGUCCUGAUGGUUUUUUGACUCGGUUUCUAGAGUCCACUGACAUAACCGAAUGCUCCGUGCCAUCUACAGUUCUUACCAAAGAAACAGCAGCUGUUUCUAAAGA